AGUCGAGGGGUAUAGUUCUUCGGAACUAGAGACCGGCGCACGGGUGCGUGACGCGUAUGCAAUCUACCUUUUACAGAGGGAUAGCCCAGAGAAAUUUGGAUUAAUACCUCAUAGUAUGCAGAGUUGGCAUCAACACUGCAUUAAAGUCACAACGGUAAAAGAUGAGCAUGCGUCCCAUUAGCUAGUUGGUAAGGUAACGGCUUACCAAGGCUACGAUGGGUAGGGGUCCUGAGAGGGAGAUCCCCCACACUGGUACUGAGACACGGACCAGACUCCUACGGGAGGCAGCAGUGAGGAAUAUUGGACAAUGGGCGCAAGCCUGAUCCAGCCAUGCCGCGUGCAGGAUGACGGUCCUAUGGAUUGUAAACUGCUUUUAUACGAGAAGAAACACUGCUUCGUGAAGCAGCUUGACGGUAUCGUAAGAAUAAGGAUCGGCUAACUCCGUGCCAGCAGCCGCGGUAAUACGGAGGAUCCAAGCGUUAUCCGGAAUCAUUGGGUUUAAAGGGUCCGUAGGCGGUUUAAUAAGUCAGUGGUGAAAGCCCAUCGCUCAACGGUGGAACGGCCAUUGAUACUGUUAAACUUGAAUUAUUAGGAAGUAACUAGAAUAUGUAGUGUAGCGGUGAAAUGCUUAGAGAUUACAUGGAAUACCAAUUGCGAAGGCAGGUUACUACUAAUGGAUUGACGCUGAUGGACGAAAGCGUGGGUAGCGAACAGGAUUAGAUACCCUGGUAGUCCACGCCGUANACGAUGGAUACUAGCUGUUGGAAAGCAUUUCAGUGGCUAAGCGAAAGUGAUAAGUAUCCCACCUGGGGAGUACGUUCGCAAGAAUGAAACUCAAAGGAAUUGACGGGGGCCCGCACAAG
rnacentral:rRNA from 1 species